CCGCAACCUCCGCCUACCGCGUUCAAGCAAUUCUCCUGCUUCAGGCUCCCGAGUAGAUGGGACUACAGGCGCGCGCCACUACCGCCCGGCUAAUCCUUGCGUCACUUUAAGCAAGACACUUGAUCUCUCUGUGCCUCAGUUUCCUCACCCGCAGAAUGAAUAUCAAUAGCUCCUGCUACACAAAACUGUUUGGGCUAUUAAAUAUGUGAAUACUCAGAAAGUACCUGGCACAAAGUAGCCUUAUCAUUGCUAUUAUUUAGAACAAAGUUAUUGUUUCCAGGUUUGGAGGUGGGCUGGCGGAGGGAGGAGAAGACGCACUAGGUUGCCUUUCA
rnacentral:lncRNA from 1 species